rnacentral:rRNA from 1 species
AACGAACGCUGGCGGCAUGCCUAACACAUGCAAGUCGAACGAGACCUUCGGGUCUAGUGGCGCACGGGUGCGUAACGCGUGGGAACCUGCCUUUAGGUUCGGAAUAACUCAGAGAAAUUUGAGCUAAUACCGGAUGAUGUCUUCGGACCAAAGAUUUAUCGCCUUUAGAUGGGCCCGCGUUGGAUUAGCGAGUUGGUGGGGUAAAGGCCUACCAAGGCGAAGAUCCAUAGCUGGUCUGAGAGGAUGAUCAGCCACACUGGGACUGAGACACGGCCCAGACUCCUACGGGAGGCAGCAGUGGGGAAUAUUGGACAAUGGGCGAAAGCCUGAUCCAGCAAUGCCGCGUGAGUGAUGAAGGCCUUAGGGUUGUAAAGCUCUUUUACCCGAGAUGAUAAUGACAGUAUCGGGAGAAUAAGCUCCGGCUAACUCCGUG